UGAGGUGUUCACUAGGGAAGAGGUGGUGGAGCUGUGGGCCACCUGCCCCAGUCUUCCUCUGGGAGCCCUGUCCUUUUUUCUUAGUUAAACUUUUUGUUUUGAAAUAAUCACAGAUUCUUGUACAGUUGUAAGAAAUGAGACAGAGGCAACGCAUGUUCUCUUCUCUCAGUUUCUCCUGAUGGUGACAUCUUUUGAAGCUGCACACAAUGUAAUUGUUUCAUUGGCCUUGGUUCAUCAGGAUACAGUGUUCUGGAGUCCCUGCAGGGUGUGACCGGCCGUGUCUGCAGGUGCCUGGGUCCUGGGCUCCGUGCUCGUCUCCUGGGAGACCCCUCUUGCCCCUUUCUGUCUGCCUCUUCUCAGUCCUGGUGCUCUCCCCAGUUUGCGCACCUGUCUCUCCACCGGGGGAUAACAGUCCAUUCCGUUCUCUUGCUCAGGGCUGUGCCUGGGAGCCUCUUUGGCUCCUUCUCUGUCUCUUCAAGCUGUCCUGCCCUUCCCACCGCCAGGUCUCCUGCCCCCGGCGUCUGUGGCGGUCCCGAGAAUGUUCAGAGAGGACAUGCCUGAGUCUGUCCGUGUCCGCAGCCUCCCUCAUUGCCCGCCUGCCUGACCUCCCCUCCCAACCAACAUUUCUCUUUCCUUCCCUGACUCUUUCUCCACCCAUGGUCACUGUCUCAGAGCCUAGCCCAGGGGUGAUUAGCCCUGAGGCAGUGUUCCUUGGCACCCCUGUGUUGGACAGGGCCCUCUUCCAGCUGAGGCACGGCCCCGUGAGCUGGGUGGGGAGGUCGGAGGCUCCAGCAUCAUCGUGUGUGACCUUGGAUGGAGACACUGUCUCUGAUGGGCUUCAGUUUGAAUCCCCUGAGUUAAUCAUGGGGUCCGUGGCUGAGGCACGGAAGGUGCAUUAGCGUCAUGCAGGGGGAUGGGCGGCCCCUGGUAGCGGAAUACUACCUCUGGAACUGCUGCUGCUUUGCUCCUCAGGGACAGCAAAGGUCAGCGGGCUUGGGAUGGGGACUCCCCAGAAGGAUUUCCCCGUUGCAUGGCUGUGUAGGACCUGUUCACAGUGGAUUAUGUUUUCCCUGGUCUGACCUGCAUCCCCCCUCCCCAGCCCCUGACCACCAGGAACCCACUCCCUGUGUCUCUGGAUUGGCCUGCUCUGCAUGUUUCCCAUCAGUGGAAUCACACCCUGUGUGACCUUCUGUGUCUGCCUUCACUGACCCUUCUCAGGGUCUGCCCACGUGGAAGCGGGUGUUGGUGCUUCUUCCCUUUGCAGUGCCAAGUGAUGCUCCUAGUCCCUCCCCGACAGCCCCUCCAUGUGGACCCCCACUGGCACGCCUCUGAUCUGAAGGCCUGUGGAGCCUGAGAAGUGGCCAGAGCCGAGAGACUGUGAGAGCUUCCGAGUCAUUCAGGUGGUCAGGGCAGCCGCUGGAAGCUGGACAGACCCUGCAGCAGCGUUCCGAGGUCGGAGGAGGCAUGUUGUCAACCAUUCCCUCCUCUCUUUCUGGUGUUAGAGCUUGGGACAGCUUGAGUUCACCUCAUCUCAGAUGAGACCAUGCUCCAGGCCCUGUGUCUUCCCAGGGGCCCCUGCAGGCCCUGCAGGAGGAGGGGCCCUGGACAUGUCCUGGCUGCCUGAGGGCCCAGAGAGGGAGCACGGUCCACAGCCGGGCACAUUCCUGCCACGUGGUGUGGGCUCUUGCACACAGGUACUCAUGGGGCCUUUCAUGGUACUUCUUGUUUUGUAACCUCACAGUGGUGACUGGAGUCAGACUUAUGGAAUCAAAUGUUUCUGGUCACUACUGCAUCUUCCCCUGGCUCUCAGACUUGUUCUUGCAGGCUGUGCUUCCUUAUCGGUUAUCUGUGGUGUGUAACGAAUCAGCCUGAAAUUUAGCAGCUUGAAUAAUAUACACUGGUGACCACUCAUGGUGUCUGAGGGCAGGAACUGAGAGCUGGCAGGCCAGGGAAUCUGGUCAGGUGCCCACAGGAGACUGCUGCAGAUGCUUCAUCCAAAUGCUGACGGGGCCAGAAUUGUGGCUCCCCCACAUGCUGCCUGAGACCCCCCAGUCCACGGGGCGAGUUCCCCUCAGAGUGAGUGUCUCAGCCUUGGUGGAGAGG